UUAUAUUUCAAGGAGCAUCUUUUUAAAGGAGCUGUGUAGCAGAUUGGGACACCAUUUUGGUUAAUGGUGAGAAAGAUGUUUCUUCAUUUUCCCUUGGAAGCUCGUCUGUGCUCCCCCACCCCCCCCCCGGCGCCAUUCUCGCUGGCCUUCACUUCCGGAAGAACAGAGGUAUGUGAGAUACCAAAAGGACGGAAGUGCUCUUCAGACGGCAAGACGGGGCGGCCUCGCCCUCCUGGUCGUCAUGGGCUCUGCUGACUGCCUGCGAGAUCCGUCUUAGUUUCACUCUGUGCAGGAUCAUCACUCCUGCUAAAUUUAUUUGAAUUAACUCACUCCUAAUCACCUUCCUCAUUAAUUAUGUGCCAAAAAUCCUUUUCUUUUUUUACUCUUGGUGCUGACUGAUCGUAUGCGAAAUGCCCUGAUAUCAGGAUGAUUUAAACAGGAGAAAUCCAUUGUUGGUGUAUUAAUAGAACAGCUAUUAUCUAACAAACGGGCUGGUGACAUUGCAGAUGUUUGCCAUGGAAUAUUGCAGACGUAUUGAUAGAUGAGUUAAUUAGUACGUGGAGACAGUGGCCGUCGUGACUCGCAGUCUUUGGCCUUCGUAUAAAUUGCUGGAGACAACAGAUUUUUUAUUUUUUUUUUAGAGAAAGAGAAGCUGCUGCCAUCGGAAGCCCUUGUGGGAUACAGUGAAACUGCAACAGAUACGUAGCAGUGUGAUUCUCACUGCAGUCGUUUGGUAUAUCACGUUCCUCGAAGUAAUGAAAGCAGAAAAGCCACGCGUUGAACACACACAUCACGGGCACUGAAAGGAAUGGAUAUCACCACCUAUAUUCUGACUUAAGAUUCAAAUUUCACUCGCUAUUAUUAAUCCUGCCAGUCAGAAAUAGGACCAGUGUUAGUUAUUUGUUGUUACUCCGUCAUUGCAGUUAGUCUGUUGCUAAGUAACCCGUUCUGGUGAGCUUAUGUGACGGAAUUUCGGGUGUGAAUGGGUUCCUCGGCUUCUGCCUGUACAUUUUUUGCACAGCUAUAUUAGGACGUGGUGAUUGUGAGCCGAGUAGCAGCGCAGUGAACAUGCUUGAUGUCCUGCUCUAGGGAUCGGUCAGUCGGAGAGAGGAAAAUCCACGAAGAAUUGCAACUUCGGGGAGGGGGGGUUCUGAGAUGUGCAGGAAAUGUAAGGCAGUUGACAGUCAACAGGCAGGCAGCACCCCCCCCCCCCCCCGGAACACAAGAUAACGCAACAAUAGAGAGAGAGAAACAACAGAGAACUCCAGGGUUGCCAGAUUGGAGGCCAGUGCUUUUUCUGUCGGAAGAGCACAGAGUUUAGCGCUCUCCUCAGAGCUGAAAAGUUAACUUUUACUCCUUUAAGUGCUAAUUGGUGAUCAAAAAUCAUCCUCCAGUCUCCCGGCCAUCAGCUGACACGUCCGCUGUGUUGCUGGCACGGAAUUAAAAGAUUCAUCAGAACAAGCAUGUUUUAUUGAAAAGCAUUUUCAUGAUGGAUGGAGGGAGAGCUUUGAGGUUGGGGGGGGUUAUAGUCAUAAAGCCGUGUGCCGCUUCUGGAAAGUGCCAGGCAUUAAGCUCUGCUGUAUUUCCCAUAAACAUGCACACUGUCCAUCUAAAUCCCACAUACCUAACUGCCUAACAUCAAUGCACUCUAAUGUACUUGCCAUAAAGACUUUACUGGAGCCUAUGAAUUCUGCCUCAUAUGCAUGCAGGAACUGCAAUACCAAAUCAUAAUGUAGAUUCUGGAAUUUAUUAACACAGUAAGACAGCAUGCAUGUAAAUUAGGCCACAUUAUACAAUGCGAUACCAUGAUAUGGUGACAAAGGAAUGUCACUGUGAGCUUCACAAAAUGCACUGCGCAGUGUGACUCAGGACAUCCCAUGAUCACAUUGGGGGUCUCUCAGAGCAGGGGACACGACCCUACUCCCUCACCUCAUCUGGCCUUGCCCCGUCCCUCUCCCCUCGAUUAGACCGACUGCUUUUUUCUGUAAUACACGGCCAUGAAUUGUUAAUGCCCAGCGAUUGCUUGGCUGUGCUUCGCUGAGUUUCUGCUGGUUAAUUAGGCCUGCGGGAGGCGGUAGAGAGGCAGGGACAGAGGGGGGAGGGAGAGGGCUGCUGUCACCAAGGCAAGGAAUCAAGGGAGAAGUUUUUUCCUGGGGGAUGCCUAUUUUGCUGGUGUUUAGGAGAAACAGAGUCCUCAGGUGUGUCAGGGAGACAUAACAGCCCAGGCACUUGGGAGAUGUGUCACAUGUUCCCAGCAUGCACCAGGAGGACCUUUCUGCGUCUCGAAGCGUAUGAGGAGGCUGGAGAAGGCAGCAACAGGGACUUAAUUUGGGAACGGGAGUGGAGGCGGACUUAACGGAUGCUGGAAGCAAAGAACAAAAGACAGCAGCCGUGUGUGGGAAAGACAAGCAAGAAUACAGGUGGCGCAGAAGGGUUCCAUAGAGGUCAGGGGUCUGGGUGUAGUUACUUAGGUGAAAGAGAUCAGAACUGGACCUUAAACAUAUUCGGGUUAAGGAACAGGUGAGUUCAAGUCAAAUGACCUUGCCCCCAGCCCAGAUGUCCAUGCAGUCUUACUGAAAAAUACUAUAAACCUCGUAAAAUCCAAGGAAUUAUGGGCAAUAUGACAUGAAUGAAUAUUAAGUCAUACACUCAGUCACAAUAUUUAAUUCAUCUGCACUGUAAAUGAAAAUAAAUAUAGAGGCAAUUAAUUUUCCUGUCAUUAGCGUGGUAUAACCUGCGCCUCCUUGAAUAAACCUGUGCUGCCUGACACUCAUGACGACGCCCCCCUGGUCACUCCGCUGUCUCCCUUAACGAAUCACAGAUGCAAGGGGCUGGGGAGCCUCUCCUAAUUAAUCCCUGAUUCAGGCACACACAGAAGCACCAUCAUUUCCACAACGCAGGAACCGCACGGGGGGGUGUUUGAGGACUGAGGGCUUUCACGUCGUCGCCACGGCAGCGGGAAGCGGGGGACGUCUCAUCUCCACACGCUGGUGGGAAGCGAGCAUGCCUUUAAAAGCAUGUAACAUGGUGCCGGCUCUUAAGAGCACGCUAUGCUCCCGCUUGGUAGCGAUGUCGCUACUGCCUCUCUCCCCUCACUGCCGCCUCCCAGAUGGGUCUGGGCUUUCAGGCUGCCGCAAUCCAGGCCAGUGCCUCGGCCCACAGCAGCUACCCGCCUCCAGGGCUGUGGGCUCCUUUCUCGCCCUGCCUCUGUGUGCACAUUGAACUCCCAUGUUCCCCGUGUGUCAAUUCAUGUGGCUAUUUCCUGGAUAAGAAGACAUAUUCUAGUUGAGCCAGUUUUCUCACCCUAGUGUGUGAAUGCAUAUACCUGCCAUGCAAAUUUGUCAAGGUGUCUCCCAGCCUCAUGCCCUGUGAUGGACAGACAUCCCACCCACGGUGUCCCCCAGCCUUGUGCCCUGUGAUGGACAGACCUUCCCACCAACGGUGUCCCCCAGCCUCGUGCCCUGUGAUGGACAGACAUCCCACCCACGGUGUCCCCCAGCCUCGUGCCCUGUGAUGGACAGACCUUCCCACCAACGGUGUCCCCCAGCCUCGUGCCCUGUGAUGGACAGACCUUCCCACCAACGGUGUCCCCCAGCCUCGUGCCCUGUGAUGGACAGGAAUCCCGUCCAGGAUGUCCCCUGCCACAUGCCCAGUGCUUUCUGGGCUAGGCUCCAGGCUCAUUGAAAAGCAGUUAUGGAAGAUGGAUGGAUAACAGCGCUCACUCCCCACUACCAGGCUGGGCUUCAGAGAGCUGGCAACCCGGCUGGUUGUUGGAGCGGUGAUGGUCCCCAGGCCCCAGGCACACUUUUGGGGGGGGGGGUUGUUCCCAUAGGGAUAAGUCCCGUGAUCCAGGGCAGCCUCAUCACACAUCCUGCCCCAUUUGAACACCUCGGCCUUCAAGAAUGGUCCAGCACGCACCACUAUCAAGUCAGGAGCAGGGGGUCCAUAUCUGGGACUCCAUCCAUCCAUCCAUCCAUCCAUCCAUCUUCCGUAACCAUGUAUCUGAUAUAGGGUUACAUAAAGUCUGUAGUUGAUUCCAGGAAACACAGGGCGCAAGGCAGGGGACUCCCAGGACAGGAUGUCAGCCCAUUACAGCGCAUCAUUUGAGGGAUUUGUGCCUCCGGAGGUUAGAGCAUUGUGCCUGCAAGCAGAAGGUUGCUGGGUCAAAUCCUGUCAGCUGAGUGAUGCCACUGUUGGGCCCCUGAA